AGAUGAGAUGGUUGGAUGGCAUCACUAACUCAAUGGACAUGAGUUGGAGCAAAUUCCGGGAGAUUGUGAAGGCCAGGGAAACUUUGCAUGCUGCAGUUCACGGGGUUGCAGAGUCAGACACUACUUGGCGACUGAACAACA